rnacentral:rRNA from 1 species
GAAUGGGACCAGUCUCGCUUGAUCUCUUCAGCUAAGCAGGUUCAGGAUUGGUUAGUCCUUGAAUGGGAGACUGCCAGUGAAUACUCAGUGCUACAGUCA